rnacentral:rRNA from 1 species
CGCUGGCGGCGUGGUUGAUACAUGCAAGUCGAACGGGAACGUUUCCUUCGGGAAGCUAGUACAGUGGCGGACGGGUGAGUAACGCGUGAUCAACCUACCCUCGGGAGGGGGAUAGCCAUUCGAAAGGAUGGGUAAUCCCCCAUGAGACCACGGCAUCGCAUGGUGCAGUGGUCAAAGAGUUGGGCUCUUCGGACCUUCUGCCCGAGGAUGGGAUCGCGUCCUAUUAGCUUGUUGGUGGGGUAACGGCCUACCAAGGCGAUGAUGGGUAGCCGGCCUGAGAGGGUGGUCGGCCACACUGGGACUGAGACACGGCCCAGACUCCUACGGGAGGCAGCAGUGCUGAAUCAUUCGCCAAUGCGCGAAAGCGUGACGGUGCGACGCCGCGUGCGGGAUGAAGGCUUUCGGGUUGUAAACCGCUGUCAGGGUUUAGGAAACCGCCGACGUGAAUAGCGGCGGCGUUGACCAGGCCCAAAGGAAGCGCAGGCUAACCUCGUGCCAGCAGCCGCGGUAAGACGAGGUGCGCGAGCGUUGUUCGGAAUCACUGGGCAUAAAGCGUGCGUAGGCGGUCUGGUAAGUCGGAUGUGAAAUCCCCCGGCUCAACCGGGGAAUUGCACUCGAUACUGCCAGGCUUGAGAGCGAAAGGGGCAAGCGGAAUUCCAGGUGUAGCGGUGGAAUGCGUAGAUCUCUGGGAGAACGCCGAAGGCGAAGGCGGCUUGCUGGGUCGCAUCUGAUGCUGAGGCCCGAAAGCUAGGGGAGCGAACAGGAUUAGAUACCCUGGUAGUCCUAGCUGUUAACGAUGGGCACUUUGCUUUUGGGGGACCUGAUUCCCUCAGGGCCGGAGCUAACGCGUU